UUGUUAAAAAUAGUUAUCUCAAGCUGACUGCAGUCCAUCAUCUUUAUCCAAACAACCAUUACUUGUUCAAAUAGAAUAUAUAUCUUGAAUAAUUCACGACUUAUAGUCAAAUAUCAUACUGAAAAUAUCCCAAUGUAACCACCAAAUGUAAAAGUUCAACAACACAUUGAUGUUCAUUUUAUUCUAAUAUAAGAAAACCGCAAUUUGAAGAACCACUCAUGGUCCAACAGUUAGGCUGAUUCAUCCAUGUCCUUUGCAGAGCAGCCUGCAGUGCCCCCAAGCUCUACAUUCUCAAACAUGUUGAUCCCUGCAAUCAUAAGGAUAUAGACUUGACUCAACUGAAUGCAGACAAAAUCCAAAUAAAGGUAAAUCACUAAAUGUGGAAUUCAUAUUGGGAUAAUGAAGGUGUACAUCCAAAAUUCAGAUAAAACUCGUUCCAUUGGCAAUCUUUGAAGUAAAAAAAAAAUAAAAAAAAGGUCAAGCCUGCAAGAUAUGUACCUUCAUUUGUUCUUCCCUCCUCUUUUGCUAUUAAAAACAUACAAGAAGAAAGUAAGAAAGUCAGAAUGUUGUUAAUACAUACAAUGUUUAAACGCAUGCUUUUAUCAUCUUUAUCUUAAAUGCAACAAAGAAGAAAGAAAAUAACACCUAGCCUCUGAAUAUUUUCGGCCACAACAGUUUUCAUCUUCUUCAAUUCCUGCCAACAGAAUUACGAAAAUGAUAUUUUCAAUCGACAAAACAAAACUUUUCAGCAAAUGUAUUCAAAUGGUAUACAAGACGAAAAUCUUAUUUACCUCGUAAAACUCCUCCAUCCUGUUUCAAGAAGUGAAGAAGGUUAGUAUGAUCCAUAAUCAUUCAAAAACUGUUAUUUUUAAUUAACCAACUUGUUCCCCAAGGAAAGUCAGACAGGGAUUUACCCUUUCACAGAUGAUGGAAGAAAAUAUGUAUCCAGAAAUCUACUCAGAAAUGCAACGAAAUCAUAGAAAAUAUUGUCAUUUGGACAAUAACAACAUAAUCAUUGACAUAAUAUUCCAACAUUUAAGCCAACGAAAUGCAUGGAACUACAAAGAGGGUCAUGUCCAAAUGACUGCCCACCUAAAGACAGAACAUGUUGCUGGAAAUCAUAGAUAUCAAGGAGCAUAUGUCUAUAGAUUCUUUUAAAUCGUAACAUGAAGUAAUCUUGGUGAACAACUAAUAUAAUGCUUUAUUUGAACUUGGAAACAAAAAUCAUGCUGGAUCGGAAAGUAAC
rnacentral:lncRNA from 1 species